UCGGAUAUGGUGUAAUGGCUAACAUUGCCGCCUCUCACAGUGAGGGAUCCAUUCAAAAACGCGGCAGCUCGGGGUUCGAUUUCCCGUAUCCGAG